rnacentral:rRNA from 1 species
UAACCUGCUAAAUAGUUAGGCCAACGUUUGUUGGUCGUCAACUUCUUAGAGGGACUAUUGACUAUUAGUCAAUGGAAGUUUGAGGCAAUAACAGGUCUGUGAUGCCCUUAGAUGUUCUGGGCCGCACGCGCGCUACACUGAUCAAGUCAACGAGUUUACAACCUUGGCCGGAAGGUCUGGGUAAUCUUUUGAAACUUGAUCGUGCUGGGGAUAGUCCAUUGCAAUUAUUGGACUUCAACGAGGAAUUCCUAGUAAGCGUGAGUUAUCAGCUCGCGUUGAUUACGUCCCUGCCCUUUGUACACACCGCCCGUCGCU